CUAGGUUAUAUUGUCUCUCUGCAGUGGGCUGUAUCUCCUAUUCUUUUAACUAGGUUAUAUUGUCCCUCUGCAGUGGGCUGUAUCCCCUCUUCUCCUAUUCUUUUAACUAGGUUAUAUUGUCUCUCUGCAGUGGGCUGUAUCCCCUCUUCUCCUAUUCUUUUAACUAGGUUAUAUUGUCCCUCUGCAGUGGCCUGUAUCACCUCGUCUCCUAUUCUUUUAACUAGGCUAUAUUGUCCCUCUGUAGUGGGCUGUAUCACCUCGUCUCCUAUUCUUAUAACUAGGUUAUAUUGUCCCUCUGCAGUGGGCUGUAUCCCCUCUUCUCCUAUUGUUUUAACUAGGUUAUAUUGUCCCUCUGCAGUGGGCUGUAUCCCCUCGUCUCCUAUUCUUUUAACUAGGUUAUAUUGUCCCUCUGCAGUGGGCUGUAUCCCCUCGUCUCCUAUUCUUUUAACUAGGUUAUAUUGUCCCUCUGCAGUGGGCUGUAUCCCCUCUUCUCCUAUUCUUUUAACUAGGUUAUAUUGUCCCUCUGCAGUGGGCUGUAUCACCUCUUCUCCUAUUCUUAUAACUAGGUUAUAUUGUCCCUCUGCAGUGGGCUGUAUCCCCUCUUCUCCUAUUCUUUUAACUAGGUUAUAUUGUCCCUCUGCAGUGGGCUGUAUCCCCUCUUCUCCUAUUCUUUUAACUAGGUUAUAUUGUCCCUCUGCAGUGGGCUGUAUCACCUCGUCUCCUAUUCUUUUAACUAGGUUAUAUUGUCCCUCUGCAGUGGGCUGUAUCCCCUCUUCUCCUAUUCUUUUAACUAGGUUAUAUUGUCCCUCUGCAGUGGGCUGUAUCACCUCGUCUCCUAUUCUUUUAACUAGGUUAUAUUGUCCCUCUGCAGUGGGCUGUAUCACCUCUUCUCUUAUUCUUUUAACUAGGUUAUAUUGUCCCUCUGCAGUGGGCUGUAUCCCCUCUUCUCCUAUUCUUUUAACUAGGUUAUAUUGUCCCUCUGCAGUGGGCUGUAUCACCUCUUCUCCUAUUCUUUUAACUAGGUUAUAUUGUCUCUCUGCAGUGGGCUGUAUCCCCUCUUCUCCUAUUCUUUUAACUAGGUUAUAUUGUCCCUCUGCAGUGGGCUGUAUCACCUCUUCUCCUAUUCUUUUAACUAGGUUAUAUUGUCCCUCUGCAGUGGGCUGUAUCCCCUCUUCUCCUAUUCUUUUAACUAGGUUAUAUUGUCCCUCUGCAGUGGGCUGUAUCACCUCGUCUCCUAUUCUUUUAACUAGGUUAUAUUGUCCCUCUGCAGUGGGCUGUAUCCCCUCUUCUCCUAUUCUUUUAACUAGGUUAUAUUGUCCCUCUGCAGUGGGCUGUAUCACCUCGUCUCCUAUUCUUUUAACUAGGUUAUAUUGUCCCUCUGCAGUGGGCUGUAUCACCUCGUCUCCUAUUCUUUUAACUAGGUUAUAUUGUCCCUCUGCAGUGGGCUGUAUCACCUCUUCUCCUAUUCUUUUAACUAGGUUAUAUUGUCCCUCUGCAGUGGGCUGUAUCCCCUCUUCUCCUAUUCUUUUAACUAGGUUAUAUUGUCCCUCUGCAGUGGGCUGUAUCCCCUCGUCUCCUAUUCUUUUAACUAGGUUAUAUUGUCCCUCUGCAGUGGGCUGUAUCCCCUCUUCUCCUAUUCUUUUAACUAGGUUAUAUUGUCCCUCUGCAGUGGGCUGUAUCACCUCUUCUCCUAUUCUUUUAACUAGGUUAUAUUGUCCCUCUGCAGUGGGCUGUAUCACCUCUUCUCCUAUUCUUUUAACUAGGUUAUAUUGUCUCUCUGCAGUGGGCUGUAUCUCCUAUUCUUUUAACUAG
ensembl:lncRNA